ACCUCAACGCCGCUGUCUCUGCCCAAACCUCCAGCUGUGUGCCCUAGUCGAUCUUGGAGGGGGUCUUGUUGUGGAGUAUUUUUAGUCCAGCAGCCAUCCUGUGUCCUGCAGCCACGAUCCUUGUUGUUGAUCAACAAGAGGCAGUGAAUUGAGGAUUUUGACGCGAGACGAGUAUCUCGGAGUCGGAAUUGGACCACUUUAUUGGAGGCG